rnacentral:tRNA from 1 species
GCGGCGGCAGUUCGCGGGACUCAGAGCGCGCCCGGUGCCGCCGGGCGCGGUCCGUUCGGGGGACCGCCGGCGGACGGUUCACCGGCCGCCUCGCCGUUC